rnacentral:lncRNA from 1 species
AUAUUUUAAAUCCUAUUUUGUAAUUAAAAAAAACUAAAAUAGCAUUACAAUUCAACAUUCAACCAAAAUACAAUUACAUAAUAUGAUCAAAUGUCAUUAAAAUUCAACAUCAUCCAAAAUACCAAAUGUCAUACAAUAUCUCAACAUUCAUCCAAAAUGUUAAUUCAACAUUCAAGCAAAAUACUAAGUCAUUACAAUUCAAAACAUCAUAAUUAAUAUGAAUCCAUUGUAACAUCACACAAAUUAACCUAGCUAGCUCCUAAGCCUCGUCAUCGGCAUCAUAAUCUACCUCGGGAUUAUAUAGGUCAAGAAAACAAUUUGCCCAGCUGUUUCGCAAUUCAUACAGCUCCUCCUUUGUUAAUGACGUGAGAUCAUCGAACACCU